UCCUUGGUGGCUUAGACGGUAAAGAGUCUGCCUGCAAUGCAGGAAACACAGGUUCGAUCCCUGAGUCAGGAA
rnacentral:tRNA from 1 species